rnacentral:rRNA from 1 species
AUUGAACGCUGGCGGCAUGCCUUACACAUGCAAGUCGAACGGCAGCACGGGGGCAACCCUGGUGGCGAGUGGCGAACGGGUGAGUAAAGCAUCGGAACGUGCCCUGGAGUGGGGGGAUAACGUAGCGAAAGUUACGCUAAUACCGCAUAUUCUGUGAGCAGGAAAGCAGGGGAUCGCAAGACCUUGCGCUCUGGGAGCGGCCGAUGUCGGAUUAGCUAGUUGGUGGGGUAAAGGCCUACCAAGGCGACGAUCCGUAGCGGGUCUGAGAGGAUGAUCCGCCACACUGGGACUGAGACACGGCCCAGACUCCUACGGGAGGCAGCAGUGGGGAAUUUUGGACAAUGGGCGAAAGCCUGAUCCAGCCAUGCCGCGUGAGUGAAGAAGGCCUCGGUUGUAAG